rnacentral:rRNA from 1 species
GACGAACGCUGGCGGCGCGCUUAACACAUGCAAGUCGAACGGAAAGGCCCUGCUUUUUUGUGGUUCUCGCGUGGCGAACGUGUGAGUUACACGUGAGUCUCCUUCCCUUGACUUUGUGAUAUCUUCAGGCAACUGGUGCUAAUACCUGAUAGCAGCUCCUGCUGCUUGGUGGGGUUUGGAACUUUUAGGCUGUUGUGGAUGUACGCGCGGCUUAUCAGCUUGUUGGUGGGGUAGUUGCUUACCAAGGCUUUGAAGGGUAGCCGGCCUGAGAGGUUGACCGGCCACAUGGGGACUGAGAUACGGAGCAGACUGCUACGGGAGGCAGCAGGGGGGAAUAUUGCACAAUGGGGGGAAGUCUGAUGAAGAAACGCCGCGUGCGGGAUGACGGCCUUCGGGGUGUAAACCGCUGUCGGCUGUGACGAAGCGUGAGUGACGGUAAUGGGUAAAGAAGCACCGGCUAACUACGUG